rnacentral:tRNA from 1 species
AAAAUCCGUCGACUUUAGAAAUCGUGAGGGUUCAAGUCUUAGUUUCUAGGCCUCUAUCCCCA